rnacentral:rRNA from 1 species
AUGAACGCUAGCGGCAGGCUUAACACAUGCAAGCCGAGGGGUAUCACGCUUUCGGGCGUGAGAGACCGGCGCACGGGUGCGUAACGCGUAUGCAAUCUACCUUUUGCAGAGGGAUAGCCCAGAGAAAUUUGGAUUAAUACCUCAUAGUAUAGAACAAUCGCAUGAUUGAGCUAUUAAAGUCACAACGGCAAAAGAUGAGCAUGCGUCCCAUUAGUUAGUUGGUAAGGUAACGGCUUACCAAGACUACGAUGGGUAGGGGUCCUGAGAGGGAGAUCCCCCACACUGGUACUGAGACACGGACCAGACUCCUACGGGAGGCAGCAGUGAGGAAUAUUGGACAAUGGGCGCAAGCCUGAUCCAGCCAUGCCGCGUGCAGGAUGACGGUCCUAUGGAUUGUAAACUGCUUUUGUACAGGAAGAAACACCUCUACGUGUAGAGACUUGACGGUACUGUAAGAAUAAGGAUCGGCUAACUCCGUG